ensembl:lncRNA
AAUAAACCUCAGAGAAGAAGAAGAAAAAGAUGCCCAUGUGGUGUUCUGUGCUAAAAUGUGUUAUCUUUCACCGUUCUACCUACCAGUGAUUCACCCCUAUUCUGAGUUGUGGCUAUCAAGAAUGAUAUGGUGUUCAAAGAUUAUCAGAGGGAUUUUCAGGCAGAACUGAUGGGGAAUCCAUUUUGUCGACAGCAGAGUUUUCGUCGACAUUGCUAGUUUUUUCCUUCACAACAAAAUGGAAGAUUCUCAAUUCAAGAGGACCUGAGCCCUAGGACCAUGCCUCAGGACUACCUAACAUGAUAACUCCUUGCUGUUCCCAGUCCAUCUGGCCGUGCUGCUGCUCCAGUUUCAACUGUUCUGCCUACGGCUAUGGAACCCUGACCUGUUCACCGGAAGGGGUACCUGUCCCAGACCUGCUGUUUUCAGACAGCAAGAGUGGUAGAGAUACUCUGAAUGAUUGGCUAUGAAAAGCCAACUGAAAUUUACUCCUGAGCUGCUGACCUGUUGCACCCUCGACAACCAGUGUGAUUAUUAUUGUUUGACCCUGCUGGUCCUCUAUUAACAUUUGAACAUCUUGGCCAUGUUCUGUUAUAAUCUCCACCUGGCACAGCCAGAAGAGGACUGGCUACCCCUCAUAGGCUGGUUCCUCUCUAGGUUUCUUCCUAGGUUCUGGCCUUUCUAGGGAGUUUUUCCUAGCCACCGUGCUUCUACACUUGCAUUGCUUGCUGUUUGGGGUUUUAGGCUGGGUUUCUGUACAGCACUUUGUGACCACAGCUGAUGUAAGAAGGGAUUUAUAAAUACAUUUGAUUUAUUGAUUGAUACAUGGGGCGGCAGGUAGCCUAGUGGUUAGAGCAUUAGACUAGUAAUCGAAAGGUUGCAAGAUUGCUGAGCUGACAUGGUAAAAAUAUGUUGUUCUGAACAAGGCAGUUAACCCACUGUUCCCAGG